rnacentral:rRNA from 1 species
GACGAACGCUGGCGGCGUGCCUAAUACAUGCAAGUAGGACGCAGUUGCGAACGGGUGAGUAACGCGUAGGUAACUACCUAUUAGAGGGGGAUAAAUAAUGGAAACGAUAGCUAAUACCGCAUACUAGUAGAUGGACCUGCGUUGUAUUAGCUAGUAGGUAGGGUAAUGGCCUACCUAGGCAACGAUACAGAGCCGACCUGCGAGGGUGCUCGGCCACACUGGGACUGAGACACGGCCCAGACUCCUACGGGAGGCAGCAGUAGGGAAUCUGCCGCAAUGGGCGGAACCCUGACGGAGCAACGCCGCGUGAGUGAGGACGGUUUUCGGAUUGUAAAGCUCUGUUGUUAAGGAAGCGGUACUUAACCAGAAAGGGACGGCUAACUACGUGCCAGCAGCCGCGGUAAUAC